rnacentral:rRNA from 1 species
AUACGGAGGAUCCGAGCGUUAUCCGGAUUUAUUGGGUUUAAAGGGUGCGCAGGCUGCCAUUUAAGUCAGCGGUUAAAUCGUGGGGCUCAACCCCAUUCUGCCGUUGAUACUGGGUGGCUUGAUUGCGGUCGAGGUUGGCGGAAUUCGUUGUGUAGCGGUGAAAUGCAUAGAUAUGACGAAGAACACCGAUUGCGUAGGCAGCUGACCAGACCGCAAAUGACGCUCAUGCACGAAAGUGCGGGGAUCGAACAGGAUUAGAUACCCUGGUAGUCCGCACAGUAAACGAUGAAUACUUGUUUUCGGCGAUAUAAUGUCGGAGGCAAAGCGAAAGCGAUAAGUAUUCCACCUGGGGAGUACGCCGGCAACGGUGAAACUCAAAUGAAUUGGCGGGG